rnacentral:rRNA from 1 species
GAUGAACGCUGGCGGCGUGCCUAAUACAUGCAAGUCGAGCGAACGGAUGAGAAGCUUGCUUCUCUGAUGUUAUCGGCGGACGGGUUAGUAACACGUGGAUAACCUACCUAUAAGACUUGGAUAACUUCGGGAAACCGGAGCUAAUACCGGAUAAUAUUUUGAACCGCAUUGUUCAAAAGUGAAAGACGGUCUUGCUGUCACUUAUAGAUGGAUCCGCGCUGCAUUAGCUAGUUGGUAAGGUAACGGCUUACCAAGGCAACGAUGCAUAGCCGACCUGAGAGGGUGAUCGGCCACACUGGAACUGAGACACGGUCCAGACUCCUACGGGAGGCAGCAGUAGGGAAUCUUCCGCAAUGGGCGAAAGCCUGACGGAGCAACGCCGCGUGAGUGAUGAAGGUCUUCGGAUCGUAAAACUCUGUUAUUAGGGAAGAACAUAUGCGUAAGUAACUGUGCACAUCUUGACGGUACCUAAUCAGAAAGCCACGGCUAACUACGUG